GGCCUUGGACAUAUGUGUACUACUGAAACAUACAUAUGCCGUGGAAGUUUUUGUAAUACAGACCUUCUGUCUUCCUUAAUCAAUAUUGUGUCUUAACUCAUGUGUGGCAGAUCAAAAGUGGACAAAAAUUCAUGGACACUCCUCCCACGAAGAGAACCCAGGCCUUAAGAAACUGGCAUUUUCUACUGCCUUAGAUUGUCCUCUGUGGGAGUCCUGAAAUACCAUGUAUGUAAGAAGUUUACCUACCCUGAAAUGGCAAUGCUGGGGAGGCCACAGAACCCAUAAAGUUACUGGAGAAGGGUGUGUCUCUCAUAUCUGAGUACUUCACAGAAAUAUGCAUAUUUAAGA